GGCUUAUUAAGAGGAAAAGAGAAGUUGGAGCAGGGGUCACAGAACAUCUUGAGGCCAGUAAAGGAAGUGGGAGAGAGUGCCUUGCCUGCAGUCUCACUGCCCCGUGGAUGGACCAAAUAGGCCUGAUUUGAUCUCUAGCAGAAUGAAUGAGUUAGUAGAGGAAUGGACAGAAGUCUUUGGAACAGGCUCCUAUCAACAGAACAUUACUCUAGA